AGCAGUAUUGAACUGAAGAGUUUGAUCAUGGCUCAGAUUGAACGCUGGCGGCAGGCCUAACACAUGCAAGUCGAGCGGAUGAAGGGAGCUUGCUCCUGGAUUCAGCGGCGGACGGGUGAGUAAUGCCUAGGAAUCUGCCUGGUAGUGGGGGAUAACGUCCGGAAACGGGCGCUAAUACCGCAUACGUCCUGAGGGAGAAAG
rnacentral:rRNA from 1 species